rnacentral:tRNA from 1 species
UGGGAUGUAGCUCAGUGGCAGAGCACUUGCCUAGCACGCAAGAGGCCCUCGGCUCAA